rnacentral:rRNA from 1 species
GGAGGAUCAUUACAGAGCUUCUAAGCUUAAGGGGGUAAAACCUCUGAGCGAGAACUCCACCCUUUGUUUACAUACCUUUGUUGCUUUAGCAGGCCCGCUCUCGAGCCGCCGGCAAUAGCUGGUCCGCGCCUGCUAGAGGACCUAAAACUCAUGUUAAUAAUAUUGUCUGAGUACUAUAAUAAUAGUUAAAACUUUCAACAACGGAUCUCUUGGUUCUGGCAUCGAUGAAGAACGCAGCGAAAUGCGAUAAGUAAUGUGAAUUGCAGAAUUCAGUGAAUCAUCGAAUCUUUGAACGCACAUUGCGCCCUCUGGUAUUCCGGGGGGCAUGCCUGUUCGAGCGUCAUUACAACCCUCAAGCUCUGCUUGGUAUUAGGCUCCACCUGCUACAGGCGGGCCUCAAAAUCAGUGGCGGUGCCUUCUGGCUUCAAGCGUAGUAACAUUUCUCGUUUGGGAGUACCGGUUGCGUACCUGCUAUAAAACCCCAAUUUUUAAAGGUUGACCUCGGAUCAGGUAGGGAUACCCGCUGAACUUAAGCAUAUCAAA